GUGUGUUGAAAGGUCCGAAGGAUGUUCGGCCCUAAUGCUGCCAUGGGUCCGAAUCUAGGAGGAUCUUGUUUAGAAUGGGUUUAUCUCGGUCAUCGGUGGGUUCUAUAUAAAGGUCGCUUUCUUCCUCUAUUUAGAUUUUCUACUAUUCUAGGAAUUUAUCCAUGGGUGUCGAUUGUCGAGAGCUCCAAGGAAUCAUCUAC
rnacentral:lncRNA from 1 species